UACGUAGGUGGCAAGCGUUGUCCGGAUUUACUGGGCGUAAAGAGCGCGCAGGCGGUCGUUCAAGUCGCGUGUGAAAGCCCCCGGCUCAACUGGGGAGGGUCACGCGAUACUGAUCGACUCGAAGGCAGGAGAGGGUAGUGGAAUUCCCGGUGUAGUGGUGAAAUGCGUAGAUAUUCGCAAGAACACCAGUGGCGAAGGCGGCUCACUGGCCCGAUACUGACGCUGAGGUGCGAAAGCGUGGGGAGCAAACAGG
rnacentral:rRNA from 1 species